rnacentral:rRNA from 1 species
CCCUUAGAUGUUCUGGGCAGCACGCGCGCUACAAUGGUCUUCGCAAACGGAUGCAUUCUCGAAGGAGAAUGCCAAUCUUGGAAUCUAUGCCUUGGUCGGGACAGUUGCUUGCAAUUUUUCGACUCGAACCAGGAAUUCCUUAUAAUCGUGAUUCAUCACAUCACGAUGAAUACGUCCCUGCCCUUUGUACACACCGCCCGUCGCUCCUGCCGAUUGAGUGAUCCGGUGAAUGAUUCGGACCAGCGUGCUGCUCAGAUCCUGCGCAGUGUGCUGGGAAGUCUAGUGAACCUUAUCACUUAGAGGAAGGAGAAGUCGUAACA